UACAGAGGGUGCAAGCGUUAUCCGGAUUCAUUGGGUUUAAAGGGUGCGUAGGCGGCCCGGUAAGUCAGUGGUGAAAUCUCCUUGCUUAACAAGGAAACUGCCAUUGAUACUGCUGGGCUUGAGUACAGAUGCUGUGGGCGGAAUAUGACAUGUAGUGGUGAAAUACAUAGAGAUGUCAUAGAACACCGAUUGCGAAGGCAGCUCACAAAACUGUAACUGACGCUGAGGCACGAAAGUGCGGGGAUCAAACAGG
rnacentral:rRNA from 1 species